rnacentral:rRNA from 1 species
UUACGGGAGGCAGCAGUGGGGAAUAUUGCACAAUGGGCGAAAGCCUGAUGCAGCAACGCCGCGUGAGUGAUGAAGGCCUUCGGGUUGUAAAGCUCUGUCUUUUGGGACGAUAAUGACGGUACCAAAGGAGGAAGCCACGGCUAACUACGUGCCAGCAGCCGCGGUAAUACGUAGGUGGCAAGCGUUGUCCGGAUUUACUGGGCGUAAAGAAUGCGUAGGCGGAUAUUUAAGUGGGAUGUGAAAUACCCGGGCUCAACUUGGGUGCUGCAUUCCAAACUGGAUAUCUAGAGUGCGGGAGAGGAGAGUGGAAUUCCUAGUGUAGCGGUGAAAUGCGUAGAGAUUAGGAAGAACACCAGUGGCGAAGGCGACUCUCUGGACCGUAACUGACGCUGAGGCAUGAAAGCGUGGGGAGCAAACAGGAUUAGAUACCCUGGUAGA